AGCGAACGCUGGCGGCAGGCCUAACACAUGCAAGUCGAACGAACUCUUCGGAGUUAGUGGCGGACGGGUGAGUAACACGUGGGAACGUGCCUUUAGGUUCGGAAUAACUCAGGGAAACUUGUGCUAAUACCGAAUGUGCCCUUCGGGGGAAAGAUUUAUCGCCUUUAGAGCGGCCCGCGUCUGAUUAGCUAGUUGGUGAGGUAAAGGCUCACCAAGGCGACGAUCAGUAGCUGGUCUGAGAGGAUGAUCAGCCACAUUGGGACUGAGACACGGCCCAAACUCCUACGGGAGGCAGCAGUGGGGAAUCUUGCGCAAUGGGCGAAAGCCUGACGCAGCCAUGCCGCGGGAAUGAUGAAGGUCUUAGGAUUGUAAAAUUCUUUCACCGGGGACGAUAAUGACGGUACCCGGAGAAGAAGCCCCGGCUAACUUCGUG
rnacentral:rRNA from 1 species